rnacentral:rRNA from 1 species
AACGAACGCUGGCGGCGUGCUUAAUACAUGCAAGUCGAACGAGAAAACCCUUUCGGGGGUGAGUAGAGUGGCGCACGGGUGAGUAACGCGUAAGUGACCAACCCUUUGGUGUGGGGUAACCCGGAGAAAUUCGGGCUAAUACCUCAUAAGUCUUAUGAAAGUUAAAAUAAUAUUAGAAAGAAUGCCUCUACUUGUAAGCACUCGCCGAAGGAUGGGCUUGCGUAGCAUUAGCUAGUUGGUGGGGUAAAGGCCUACCAAGGCGACGAUGUUUAACUGGUCUGAGAGGAUGAGCAGGCACACGGGAACGGAGACACGGUCCAGACUCCUACGGGAGGCAGCAGUAGGGAAUAUUGCGCAAUGGGCGAAAGCCUGACGCAGCAACGCCGCGUGAGUGAGGAAGGUCUUCGGAUUGUAAAGCUCUGUUAAGGUAGAGAAACAGAUUACGGUCGAAUAGGCCGUGAUCUUGAUGGUAUAUCUAGAGGAAGCACCGGCUAACUUCGUGCCAGCAGCCGCCGUAA